rnacentral:sRNA from 1 species
CAUGAAAUAAAUCUUAAAAACAAAACAAACAAACAAACAAAAAACCCUGCCCUUUCUGGUUUACAGAAUGUCCGACGUCUAGAACAAAUGACGAUUUUAGAACCAACAUUAUGGAUAACUGUGGGACCUCUAGUAGUUAACCUUUUGUUUCAGGACUUACACUCAUAAAUGUUAUACGAGAGGCAGAAAUACACAAAUCCCAUGUCGCACCCCGGUAGGGUAGGGGCAUUUUAUAAUCUCACUGAUUUGUGCUUCACUCAGUAUGCAUGCUUUCAAGGCUUAGGAAGUGGCUUCCAGGGAGGUUGACAAUGACCACCUCAGUUUUACUUCGGUUUCUGAGUUUUUGGUCUCAAUAGAUAAAACCUUGUCAACUUUUCCAGCUUGUGGUGGGACUGUGCUGUGUUUAGCGAAUUGCAUAGACAGUAAAGUGAGGAUGGCUUCAUGCAGGCUCUCUAGGAGGAGCAAGGAACCAGGCGUGGUACAACAGCUCUUGAGGGCCUGGGAGGCAGAGCUGGAAGGCCCUGAGCUUGGAGCUGGCCUGGGCUACACAGUGAGGACUUGUUUUUGUUUUAAAACUGUGAGUGUGACAGCCAAACAUUGGAGUCCGGGACACUUACAGGGAAGAGCUGGGUGAAGAACUGAAGGCCCUGAAGGGGAUGGGAGCCUCACAGAAGGACCACAGAGUCCACUAACCUGGACUUUUCUGGGAGCAUCAGAGACUGAACCACAAACAGAAGAAUACAAGAGUUAGAAUAAGGCACCCCCAGCACAUAAGCAGCAGAUGCACAUGCAGCUCAGUCCCCAUGUAGACCACCCCAAUGACUGACGUGGAAACUCUCCCCAAGGCUGCAGCCUGUCUGUGGAAUCUAUCCUUAACAGGGCUGCCUUGUCUGGCCUCGGCGGGAGAGGAUGCACCUAAUCUGUCAUAGACUUGAUGGAUGAGGGUGGGAGGAUACCCAGGUGGAGGAGAACGGGAGAGGGAAUAGAACGGGGGCCUGUGGGAAGGGGGGUAGACAGUUUGGGAUGUAAAUAAAUAAAAAGUAAAAGACAAACAUGUGUGAGAGGGGUUCUCGUCCUCACCGGGUCACCUGUACCUGGAUCCUUUGGCCUCCUCUGCUUUCCUGACCCAGGUCUCACAGGCAAUGAGUGACCUCUUAGAACAAGAAGCCUUUUCUAAAACGCAUCAAGUAAAGUGCGGCAUGUGUUCCUGAGCCGUUAUUAGGCAGAUCCGAGGAAGAAAGGAAACGCUCACCCUGACUCUAGAUAUAACCUCAGAGAUACUAAGAGAAUGUAUAAAGGAGCAGCCAGCCAACAGCUAAGGAACAGCCUGUGUUGCAGUAAUCCUGUGACCGAUGCAUAGGUAGUAACAACAACAAAACUUAAUGCCUCGCUCUUCGUUUCAUUUCUCACUUAUAGACAUAAUAAUUACGAUAAUAAAAAUAAAAUUACUGUAACGGCCCAGAGGGUAUGGAAAUGCUAAAACAUUUAUGUAAAUGGGGCUUACUCAUUAAAGAGCAUUGACAAAAAAUAUAAAUUACAUUUAAUUCUACUACAGGGGUUAAGGUGAAAACAGUCUAAUAGAUUGGGCAAGAGUCAAGUUCACCUCCUGGCUCUUAACUUGUGUGAACUUGGGCAAGUCAUUAGUUAGUGAUUAAUGGGAUGCCUCCACCUGUAAAGUUAACACUGUAACAAACCCAACUGCAGAAGAAUACCCCAGCCUGCGCCAGUGAGAGGAGUCCCUCGGAACUUAAAAAGCCAAAUCCAGGUAUUAAUGUACAGGCAACAUUAAUUUCACUUCAACUUGUAGACAAGACAAUGUCUUCCGGUGGCAUUAGAGGGGCUGGAGCGUUCCGCUGUUCAUAAAUACAGUUGUGCUUAUUGAUUCUUGAGGCUUGUGUCUACACGAGAGCAAGCUCCGAGGGUAAACAGAGGGGGGAAGUUCUGGGGGAAAGAAUGCAGUGAGUCAUGAGUACUUGAAGCAAAAUGAAACGCUACAUCAAAUCCCGUCGAAACUUCGGGACUUAAAACGAGAAACCACCGUUUCCCGUGAGAACUCAGCAAUUAUAAACUUAAUGAAUGCUAGAAAGGAGUCCUGAGAGGACAUGUUUGAACACAAGUGUUUUCAAUGAAAUAAGCCAUUCUGUGAAAUGCAGUCACUAUUAAUUAAUGCCAAAACCAGGAGAAUUUUUAUGGAGUUGAAUAUGGACACAUGAUGACCGGGGAAGUUCACUGUGAUUGAUGUUAUUAUUAUUCUGAAUACCACAGUGGUUGGUAAUGAUUUGGGGGCCUUCCAUGAAGUCCACGCCGGGGUGCUUUGUCUAAUUGACUCAUCCUUGCUCCUCAGUGAGUACUGUCUCUCCCCUGUGGCCGUUCCCAAACAUCUGGCUCCUGUACAGUCCACAGGCUGCAGGUAAGGGCUUCAAGCGUCCGCAGCUAGACAGUUUUGGACAGAUCUUAACAUGAGGCCCAAGCAAGAAUUCUGAGAAAACCAUCUUAUUUAAACAGCAAGAAAGUAUCACAUUUAUUUCCCAUCUGUUUUCAUAUUUAACUGAAAUCAGAAUCCAUUUUUCAGAAGGGAUGAGCUCCCUUCUGUGUCUUGUUUUUACUGUAGUAAAGGUCAGGCUUUAAUAUGCACCUAAGCUCAGAGACUUCAGACCCAAUCACUGCUUAUCCUCCUAAAAUCAGAGCUUAAUGACAUGAGUAUUAGAAAAGUUGCAGGAAGUCUAUCCAUCUACAGGACGAGGAAACCCCUUAAUUAGGGACGGAGCAUAUAUCUAUGUAGGCUCACAUAUAGGUACAUUUAAUGAUUUUUUUUCUUUGUGGUCUUAUGUUUAAAGGAUUUUAAAUACACACCAAGGUUCUCCAAACCGUAUACUGAUGUUCAUAUUAAGCCUAAUAGUGACAAAAUUAUGUGUUAUUAGAUAAAAUCGGACAGUUGGUUUCUGAAACCAGUGACUCUUAUGCCACAGAGGCAGGUAUAACUGCCACCGCUAACGCAAAUCCUGACAUCAUAGGAGAUGCCACGGCUGACUGACUGAGCAAGGCUGCAUGUCUUCAGGUCUGCAGGUCCUCUCAACAUCCUGCUGCCAAUCUGUGGAUGCUUGGAUUGGCCAUCACUGGGAUCUACUGACUCAGCUGUGGAGAUAUAGAUAUGUAUGUGCAUAUAUAUAUAUAGAUCUAUAUCUCCUUGAGUUCCUUCCCGCUCUGGUUCCUGAUUUCUAGUCUAUAAGAUGAGAGUCUCAGACUAGAUGAGGCCACAGGAUGAGACUAGCCUCGAUACUCAUCUCUGACAGCAUGCCCGAGCUCUCAUUGGUUGAUCACAGCAGCUCUUUUAUACAGAAUUGGAUGUAAUAGUUUCUGGUGUGUGUGCACGUGCAUGUGCUGUGGACGCAUGCCAUGGAGGUGUGUGUGUGGAGGGCAGCUUUGGGGAGUCCACUUUCUCCCCCCAAUUUGUGGGCACAGGGCAUCUCAUUUCUGCUGACCUGUACACCCCAGGUUGGCCAGCCUUCUAGGGGAAUUCUCUUGUCCUUACCUCCCACCGCCUACUCCUGUCUUGGGGUUGGUGUGCUGAGAUUAGAAAUCUGGGUUUUGUUUUUGUUGCUGUUCAUUUUUAAACGGUAGUUUUGAUCGGGGCAUUGGCUUGCUUGGCAAGCGCUUUAACCCACAUUUAGCCAUUUUUAUGGCCCCUUAAAAUUAUUUUAAUUGGUGUUAAAUCAUCUGCAAGAAACAUUAAAAACACAACGAAAUUCAAGUAUGAUUACCCACUUGAGUUUCACCUUGUAAGGCAAUCACUCAAAUAAACAUCCUAUUGAUUUUCUUUUUUCUUUUAAAAGAAAACCACUCCCAUUUGCAUGCUCCUAAGCAACUGGUAUCUCUUCUGAAGAAAAAGUUCUAAAUUCACGAUUACGAAGCCAUCUCCUCAUGGAGUUAAAAUAUGGCAAGAAACCAUUCCCACCCAUUCUCCUCUGCAAGUCUUAAUGGUUAGAGCUAACGAGGGUGUUUCAACAAUUUCACACAUCUCAUUCCUGUGUCCUUCUGUGCCAGGAAUCAGACUUCCUCAGACCGGUCCUCUUCAAGCACAUUACAUGCUCACAGAGAGGCUGGUCAGGACUCACUCGAUCGAGGUCACAGUAGCUAAAUCAUUUCCAUCUUUAGAAAACACAGUAACAGUUUAUGGAAGCUUCUAUUUAUCCUACGGGGGAGGGGGGGGGUCUCCUCUCUUGUCGUCAGUGGCUUUUCUCUUCAGAAACUGGUUUUCCUAUCCCACAGUUCUCUUCUGUGCUUUGUAAGCGCAACCACAGGUCCUGGUGAACACAGUCAACAAGACAGAUCUUUGUGGAAAUGGAAGCUACCUGGAGCCCACCAGUUUUAACGACAUGUGACAAACAGAAAUUAAUGGGGACACUGCUGUGCCAAUUCCUCCUGAAUUGCUGACACUGGCUACAGGCUGCCUGUUUGCCACCCAGCCAAGACCUCACAUGAAACAUGGCGAGGGGCCCACAGCUCUAUUCACCAACAAACCAGCUGGUCAAUGAUGAGAGGAGUCCGAACAAUGUGGUGCGUACAAACCAGGAAGAAAAUGCUUUCUGAAUCGAUUCAAACCCAAGGGGUGGCAUUUGCUAGGAGUUAAUAUGACCAUUUAUGUUCCUGAGUGGUACAUCGCAGGGCUCCAAUUCCCAAAGUAAUUCAAAUGCACAAAGCACACCUCUCGUAAGGACUCCUGAAGUUUAAGUCUGGGGGGGAUGGUCACUUGGGCAAGAUGGAGCUACAUGAGACAAGUCUCCAAGGAAGCCUCCUGCUAAUAGCCUACUUCCAGAAGGCCUUAGGAGCUGCCAUGUCUCUCGCCUCCAGCUAACAACCACGGUGCUGGUUUAGAAUUCAACGCAUGGACACCUUUUCCAUUCUUUAUCCCACAUACGAGAACACACGCAAGCACAGACACACAAAAGGACCUUCGGUUCAAGCUCAUUAACUGCCUUGCCGCAGAGUUUGCAGGGUUGGGGAAUAGGCCUCAACUUUGGCACGAUGCACUUUCCCCCCUCUUCGCAUAAUCAAGGAUCAACCUUGGCUCCUCACCACACCGGCUCUGUUAUGGAUCAGGCCUGGCUGAUCUCAGCACGUACUUAGGACUAUAUAAAUGCAUGCUUUUUAAAGAAGCUGGCAUAAAAACCAGUUUGGGUGGCCCACACUUUCAGUCUAAGUAUUUAGGGGUCAGAGGCAGGGGGAAAUCUCUGUGGGUUCCAAGUCAGCCUAAUGGACAUGACAGCUUCCUAGCCAGCCUGUGUGUUUACAAAAUAUAUAUAUAUAUAUAGUGUGUUUACAAAAAAAAAGGCACUAGGCAGAUAAGUUGCCUAAUAUGAGCCUGGGUACAGCAUACAGGUCAGGCCUAAGAAGGAAAGAUGGGGAACUUUUAGGCAACUCUAAGGGCAUUUAAAAGGGCCUCCAUUUUUGUGGCUCAACAUGACUGGAUGGGGGAAUCCUGGUACUCCGAAGUAGCAUGUCUAACUCACCUUCUCUCCCGUUCGAGGUUUUAAGGUGUAAAAGUUGACAAAGAUGUGUUACGGAGCACAUGGGACCCGGGGCAACCUGGAAUCCCCCAGUGGGCAGGUGUGCAAGCGGGUUAAAGGAGGGGUCUCUGGAGGGAGGAGGAAGAGCCUGAGUUGCCAGGGACUCUUGGGAGAAAAACGUGUCUCCAGCUUCAAGGGGACUUUUCCAAGCCAGCGUUUGAGUGAUAGCUUUAAGUUGGUCAUGCUUUGGCCACCAAGAGUUUGUUUCAGGGAACCGGUAGUCAUUUUCCACCAACGAAUGGAAAUAACACCCUCCAAGUCACCCAGUCAAGAUGAGCAAGAGAAGGGGCUGAAUGGCGCCUGCUGGGUAAAGUUACCAGGAGUGACUUCAGUGGAGUGCUGUUAUUUUUCUAAGUGAAACCUGUGAGAUAUGUACUUCGUUUAGGAACACUUAAAACACUCGUAACUCAGAACGGAAGCACAGGGUUGGAGGGAGGCGGGAAAAAAAAAAACACCAAGGGAGAAGUCUCGGAAAUGGAAUCAUUAAUCUCUUAAACGCAUUUCUAAAAUAUACUAAAUGAUGCAGGCGGAGCCGUUUACAACGCUCACUGCCAAUAUAAGUCGUUAAGGAUUCCCUGCUUUCCUCUAACGAGGUUAACACUUUCAUGAAAACCCUCCAACCCAAGGCAUGCUCAGACUUUAUGCUCAACAACAAUAUGGAAACAUGGGGUUGGGGAUUUGGCUCAGUGGCAGAGCGCUUGCCUAGGAAGCGCAAGGCCCUGGGUUCGGUCCCCAGCUCCGGAAAAAAAAAAAAAAAACAAUAUGGAAACAUGAAAUAGCAGAACUUCAGUCGCUCAACUUCAGUCACCCCCUCAUGUCAUAACCAUUCAUUCAUUCAAUCAUUCAUUCAUUCAUUCAUUCCUUUCGGUCACAAUCCCAUGAUCUGUGUGUGUCGUCUCAGGUUC